rnacentral:rRNA from 1 species
GUGGGGAAUAUUGGACAAUGGGCGAAAGCCUGAUCCAGCCAUGCCGCGUGUGUGAAGAAGGUCUUCGGAUUGUAAAGCACUUUAAGUUGGGAGGAAGGGCAGUAAGUUAAUACCUUGCUGUUUUGACGUUACCGACAGAAUAAGCACCGGCUAACUUCGUGCCAGCAGCCGCGGUAAUACGAAGGGUGCAAGCGUUAAUCGGAAUUACUGGGCGUAAAGCGCGCGUAGGUGGUUUUGUAAGUUGGAGGUGAAAUCCCCGGGCUCAACCUGGGAACUGCCUCGAAAACUGCAUGACUAGAGUACGGUAGAGGGUAGUGGAAUUUCCUGUGUAGCGGUGAAAUGCGUAGAUAUAGGAAGGAACACCAGUGGCGAAGGCGACUACCUGGACUGAUACUGACACUGAGGUGCGAAAGCGUGGGGAGCAAACAGGAUUAGAUACCCGGGUAGUCC